rnacentral:rRNA from 1 species
UUGGUGAGGUAAUGGCUCACCAAGGCGACGAUCGGUAGCCGAACUGAGAGGUUGAUCUUUUUCCCCCCCGGGGGGAGACACCCGCCCCAGAAUCCUUCGGGAGGCAGCAGUUUUGAAUAUUUCGCCACAAUGGGGGGAACCCUGACGCAGCAACGCCGCGUGAAGGAUGAAGGCUUUCGGGUUGUAAACUUCUUUGAUUGGGGACGAAUAAUGACUGUACCCAAAAAACAAGCCACGGCUAACUACGUGCCAGCAGCCGCGGUAAUACGUAGGUGGCAAGCGUUGUCCGGAAUUACUGGGUGUAAAGGGCGUGUAGGCGGGGAUGCAAGUCAGAUAUGGAAAUUCCGGGGCUCAACUCCGGGAGCUGCAUCUGAAACUGUAUCUCUUGAGUGUUGGAGAGGAAAGUGGAAUUCCUAGUGUAGCGGUGAAAUGCGUAGAGAUUAGGAGGAACACCAGUGGCGAAGGCGGCUUUCUGGACAAUAACUGACGCUGAGGCGCGAAAGCGUGGGGAGCAAACAGGAUUAGAUACCCUGGUAGUCCACGCCGUAAACGAUGGAUACUAGGUGUAGGAGGUAUCGACCCCUUCUGU